GGUCCCGUAGCUCAACUGGAUAGAGCAGCUGCCUUCUAAGCAGCGGGUUGGGGGUUCGAGCCCUCCCGGGAUCG
rnacentral:tRNA from 1 species